rnacentral:rRNA from 1 species
AGAGUUUGAUCCUGGCUCAGGACUAACGUUGGCGGCGUGCCUAAUACAUGCAAGUCGAACGCGCUGGGGCAACUCAGCGAGUGGCGAACGGGUGAGUAACACAUGGAUGAUCUUCCUCUGAGAUUGGGAUAACCCGCCGAAAGGCGGGCUAAUACCGAAUAUGACCACGUCCUGUAUCCGGGACGAGGUAAAAGGUGGGGACCGCAAGGCCUACCACUUAGAGAUGAGUCCGCGGCUGAUUAGCUAGUUGGCGGGGUAAUGGCCCACCAAGGCGAUGAUCAGUAGCCGGCCUGAGAGGGUGUACGGCCACACUGGAACUGAGACACGGUCCAGACUCCUACGGGAGGCAGCAGUAGGGAAUUUUCCGCAAUGGGCGAAAGCCUGACGGAGCGACGCCGCGUGAGGGAUGAAGGUCUUCGGAUUGUAAACCUCUUUGGAGCGAGACGAAUGUGCCCUUGGCUAACAGCUGGGGGCAGUGACGGUAUCGCUAGAACAAGUCACGGCCAACUCUGUGCCAGCAGCCGCGGUAAUACAGAGGUGACUAACGUUGUCCGGAAUUACUGGGCGUAAAGGGCGUGUAGGCGGUCAGGUAAGUCAGAUGUGAAAGCUCUGGGCUUAACCCAGGAAUUGCAUUUGAUACUGCCAGACUGGAGUACGGUAGAGGAGGGUGGAAUUCCCAGUGUAGCGGUGAAAUGCGUAGAUAUUGGGAGGAACACCGGUGGCGAAGGCGGCCCUCUGGACCGAAACUGACGCUGAAACGCGAAAGCUAGGGGAGCAAACGGGAUUAGAUACCCCGGUAGUCCUAGCCGUAAACGAUGAGUACUAGGUGUUGGAGGUAUUGACCCCUUCAGUGCCGCAGCUAACGCAUUAAGUACUCCGCCUGGGGACUACGGCCGCAAGGUUGAAACUCAAAGGAAUUGAUGGGGGCCCGCACAAGCGGUGGAGCAUGUGGUUUAAUCCGACGCAACGCGAAGAACCUUACCUGGGCUUGACAUGCCCUGAUCGCCAGAUGAAAGUUUGGUUUCCCGCAAGGGACAGGGACACAGGUGCUGCAUGGCUGUCGUCAGCUCGUGUCGUGAGAUGUUGGGUUAAGUCCCGCAACGAGCGCAACCCCUAUUUCUAGCUGCCAUCGGGCCGAAAGGUGCCGGGAACUCUAGAGAAACUGCCUCGGAAAACGAGGAGGAAGGUGGGGAUGACGUCAAGUCCUCAUGGCCUUUAUGUCCAGGGCUACACACGUGCUACAAUGGUCUAUACAGAGGGCUGCGAACCCGCAAGGGGGAGCCAAUCCCAAAAGUAGGCCUCAGUUCGGAUUGAGGGCUGCAACUCGCCCUCAUGAAGCUGGAAUCGCUAGUAAUCGCGGAUCAGCACGCCGCGGUGAAUACGUUCCCGGGCCUUGUACACACCGCCCGUCACGCCACGAAAGCCUGUUGUACCAGAAACCGGGGAGCCAACCCGCAAGGGAGGCAGCCGACUACGGUAUGACCGGUGAUUGGGGCGAAGUCGAAACAAGGUA